GCGAUCUUUUGAGCAGUUUUACGGAUAUCGGUACGAUAAACACAGUAUUUGUUUGGCAGGAAGAGAAAUUGUCUUAUCUGGUAUCGAUGCAGAGAACAUGACUGACAAAGAUCUAUUUGACAGUGAUUAUGAUGGGGGUUCACAAAUACAUGAGCACAGUUACACUGUGAAUUCCUGGUGCUGCCAUUCCUAAUCAACCGACAUAUCAGAAUUCUGGAUAAGAAUUCAGAUUACUGGCUGCAUAUUCAACCGGAAGUGUUUUUCCUGUUCAAUUUAACUGCUAGUUCAUAAAUAAAAUUUUGUUUAAGAGAAAUAAUAUUACUUUGAAAUUUUCUUAAAUACCAGGUGGUAUCACAUUUGUAUUUGGUGGGUGGGGCAGUUGUACAUGUUUUAGAUAAUGUUUUUUUUUUUAAUACUAACCAAAUAAGUUUUUGUUUUUUCAACAUUUAUUCUUGUUUUGUUGUACAUUAUUUCAACUGUGAUAUUUAAUCACAUGCAAAUUUGCAUUUAAGAAAAAUCAACUUUUUAUUGUCUAUUUCAGGAAUUUUUGGGUCCUGCGUUGGUGGGGGGUAACGUGUUUCAGACCAGAAUCCUGCCGGACCAUCCAAUUGCAAGGACAUCUAACAUAGCUGAAAUGUAUCUGUAAUGAAUUAUUAAAAGUUUGGAUAAAAAAUGUGUUCUUAAAUCAUUAUUUUAAACAAAUUAUACACCCAGGUUGACUAUUUUGAAAAAAAUGAAAAAUGACAAUUUUUACACAAGGGAUUUUUCAAU